AUUACGGAGAGUUUGAUUCUGGCUCAGAGCGAACGCUGGCGGCGUGGAUAAGACAUGCAAGUCGCACGCAGCUUGUUUCCUAGCAAUAGGAGGCGAGUUCAGUGGCGAACGGGUGAGUAACGCGUGGGAAUCUACUCCAAAGUGGGGAAUAGCCCGGCGAAAGCCGGGGGAAUUCCGCAUGUGGUCUAGCCUAGCUAGAUUAAAGCGGGGGACUCGAAAGGGCCUCGCGCUUCGGAAUGAGCCCGCGUCCUAUCAGCUAGUUGGCGGGGUAAAUGCCCACCAAGGCGAUGACGGGUAGCUGGUCUGAGAGGAUGGCCAGCCACACUGGGACUGAGACACGGCCCAGACACCUACGGGUGGCAGCAGUCGAGAAUUUUUCACAAUGGGCGAAAGCCUGAUGGAGCGACGCCGCGUGGAGGAGGAAGGCCUUCGGGUUGUAAACUCCUGUCACCGCAGAACAAGGUUCGCCUGCCGAAUAAGCGGGAGGACUUGAUAGUAUGUGGAGAGGAAGGGACGGCUAACUCUGUGCCAGCAGCCGCGGUAAUACAGAGGUCCCGAGCGUUGCUCGGAUUUACUGGGCGUAAAGGGUGUGUAGGAGGUUGGGAAAGUCGAAUGUGAAAUCCCUCUGCCUAACGGAGGAACUGCGUUCGAAACUACCCGGCUAGAGGUUCGGAUGGGGAAGCGGAACUCUCGGUGUAGCAGUGAAAUGCGUAGAUAUCGAGAGGAACACCGGUGGCGAAGGCGGCUUCCUGGACGAAACCUGACUCUGAAACACGAAAGCUAGGGGAGCAAACGGGAUUAGAUACCCCGGUAGUCCUAGCCGUAAACGGUGUGCGUUAGGUGUUGGCGGAUUCGACCCCGCCGGUGCCGAAGCUAACGCAUUAAACGCACCGCCUGAGGAGUACGGUCGCAAGGCUAAAACUCAAAGAAAUUGACGGGGGCCCGCACAAGCGGUGGAGCAUGUGGCUUAAUUCGAUGCAACGCGAAGAACCUUACCUGGCCUUGACAUGCAGCGUUCAGUCCCGGAAACGGGAUGGCCCGCAAGGGCGAGCUGCACAGGUGCUGCAUGGCUGUCGUCAGCUCGUGUCGUGAGAUGUUGGGUUAAGUCCCCCAACGAGCGCAACCCCUGUGUCUAGUUGCCGAAAGGCUCUCUAGACAGACUGCCCUCUUCAAGGGGGAGGAAGGUGGGGACGACGUCAAGUCAGGAUGGCCCUUAUGGCCAGGGCUGCACACGUGCUACAAUGCUCGGUACAAAGGGACGCAAGACCGCGAGGUGUAGCAAAUCCCCAAAACCGAGCCCAGUUCAGAUUGAAGGCUGCAACUCGCCUUCAUGAAGCCGGAAUCGCUAGUAAUGGCGCAUCAGCUACGGCGCCGUGAAUACGUUCCCGGGCCUUGUACACACCGCCCGUCACAUCCUGAAAGCUGGCUGUACCCGAAGCCGUUCUCUUGAGCGUCGAAGGUGUGGCUAGUGAUUGGGAUGAAGUCGUAACAAGGUAGCCGUAGGGGAACCUGCGGCUGGAUCACCUCCUUUCUAAGGAGUAGGUUCGGG
rnacentral:rRNA from 1 species